UCCUCGGUAAAUUGAGAAUCUUUAUGCAAAAUUUCAAGUCAUUCCCAGGUAGCACACCUACGUGUUUCCAACGUUGAAAUUUGGUUGUUGAGGUCGAAUAACCGUUAGCGGUUGAAUUUUUCAACGUUUUAAAUGCAACGUUGUUUUCAACGGUUGCUCUCUCAUUGAAAACACGUUGAAAACGAGCUUCCAAUUCCACCACUCACAGCGCUACAGUAGUCCUUAUACAAAAAUGGAUCUAGCAACUCUCGUCAACGAGGAUCGACGUCAUUUCAUGUUUGAAUUCUCAUCACGUUGAUGAAAGCUGUGAACUCUUUUAGAAGUGUCUACCCAUUCCACUUUGACUUGAUUCUAUCAAAAAAUCUUGUGGGUCGACUGUGGGCAUUGAGACCCAAAUUGAAGACGCUAUUAAGGAUUGGCUAAAAUAUGCGACAGUCAAAGUAUUUUCAGCGGA
rnacentral:lncRNA from 1 species